rnacentral:rRNA from 1 species
UACAGAGGUGCCAAGCGUUAGGCGGAAUCACUGGGCUUAAAGCGCGCGUAGGCGGACGUUUAAGUGUCUUGUGAAAUCCCACGGCUCAACCGUGGAACUGCUGGGCAUACUGGACGUCUCGAGGCACUCAGGGGCGAGCGGAACAAGUGGUGGAGCGGUGAAAUGCGUAGAUAUCACUUGGAACGCCAAUGGUGAAGACAGUUCGCUGGGGGUGUCCUGACGCUGAGGCGCGAAAGCCAGGGGAGCGAACGGG